rnacentral:lncRNA from 10 species
AGAACUCAUCUUCACAGGGAAUAUGCAAUACUCAAUCCCUAACGGUGCUGGUUUACUUACAGUUCCCACUUCCAGGAAUGCAUCUCCUGGGCUAAGUGUGGGACAAGUAGAACUCGUGGGAUAUACUUGCUCCCAUUUACUGGAUGUUUACCAUGUGCCGGGACCUAGGCUGCGCACUUUUCAUGAACUAUCUCAUUUAAUCACUGUGGGGAAUUUUUGUUACACACAUUUUACAGAGAAGAAAACUGAGGUUCAGCCAGGCUAACUUGACCAUGGCCAUGCCUUUGGUAGACUGUAGAGCUAGGAUUCAAGAAACAUUCACCUUCAGAGUCUAAGCUCUCAACACUAUACCACAGCAUCCAGUAUAUUGUUCAACUUUUAAUUUUUAUUUUAUUUUAUUUAUUUAUUUAUUUAUUUAUUUAUUCUGAGAUGGAAUCUCACUCUGUUGCUCAGGCUGGAGUGCAGUGGAGCAAUCUCAGAUCAUUGCAACCUCCACCUCCUGGGUUCAAGCAAUUCUCCUGUCUCAGCCUCCCGAGUAGCUGGGCCUGAAGACCCAUGCCACCACGCCCUGCUAAUUUUUUGUAUUUUUAGUGGAGACAGCGUUUCGCCAUGUUGGCCAAGCUGGUGUUGAACUCCUGACCUCAGAUGAUCCACCUGCCUCGGCCUCCCAAAGUGCUGGGAUUACAGGCAUGAGCCACUGUGCCCGGCCUCGUUCAACUUUUAGAGUGAUACCUUAAGUGGAUGAUAUUUGGAGACACAUUAUGCUACCAUCUGGACUACUUUGGAAACUCAAACUAUUAUACCAAGAGAAAUAAUUCUCAAACCUGUAGAGAAAGCUGGCACUUGAAUGGAUUCUGCAUGCACACACACACACACACCCCCUUCCAUUCAGUUUUUCUGUGUCUCACUCUUAAAUAUGAGAUCUGAGGGUUGCUGGACAUUUGAGGAAAUGUUUCCACAUGAAAACAUGAAGCUAAAAGCUAACCAAGAAAAAAAAAAAAAGAAAAACAUCAUCCAAAUACAUCUGAUCUAUUAGUAAGGGUGCAAUUAAAACAGUUGGAUAACAAUCUUUCUUUUGAUUGUCUGCUUUUUGGAGGUAGCAUUGUUCUCUGGGCCAGCUAUGUUAUAGAAGUAACUUCAACCUUACAGGUUAGAGGAAAUGAGGAAAUAAGUCAAUUUUAACAUGAAGAUAUAACAUGUU